GUGCAAGUAACGAUUCUGCUGGGCAAAGGAUGCUCUUCCUAAAAUUCCUGGCUCUCAAGAGAGAUGAAAAUGAAGAGAAGAAGAAACAUUUAGACAUGAGAAUCUUUCAGCUCUGGCUCUGUGCAGAAAACACGAAGUCACACAUAGUCUCAUCCUCUAGACAGCCAGGCAAGAGUGCUGCUUGGCUGGACACAAAACACGUCCCGACAGCUUUGUUGAACAGAGAAAUAAAGAGACAUGGGCAUCAGAAACUGGAAUGGCCAUUAGUGGCCAUUUCUUGAAGUCUCAACAAAU